rnacentral:sRNA from 1 species
UCAUCGAUCAGGUUCCGAAGACCGGUGG